GUGGUGGUCAGUGUAAUGACUACUGUACUGGUCAGUGUACUGUAGUCUCUAAGACCCACCACAGAGUGAGACUGGUACCUGCCGACAGGGACUGAGAGAUAUCGGUCUCCCUGUGCGAUGGUUCUAUACAAA